AGACACACUUCAUUGAAGCACAGUUUGUUCUGGAUAAAUGGGAAUUUUCAGCAGCUGUAGUUUUUUUUUAAAAGCUGAUAGGAGGAGAUGUUAUUUAUAACUCCCUGUAGCAGCUCCUCUUUAAUGCAUGAUAAUCUGCUGUGACUUUACAAUGAAUGCAGCAACAUGUGGUCUCCUGCUCUCCUUCAGUAACCGACAGAAUAUUUCCCAGAUGAAGAAUAUUUUAAUCACUGCAUGCAAAUUUCCUGAAGGAUGAUAAAAGCAUUUCUUUAUGUUAUCAUUAUCUUUAUAAAUCUAAAAUUAUGUUUUCCCAUGUCUCUUUCUUAGGAACACGAAGCAAGUAAGCCUAGAUUUUUCUUACAUCCUGCCAUGAAAUAGUAAUUUGCUGUUCACCAGGGAAAUAGUAAAGUAGCAGGCAUUCUUAUAAAGCAUUAAAUUCCAAAAUUCGGAAAAACUUAGUUCGCAAGAUAGAAGAAUAUCAGUAAUUUUCCAGUUUUCCACAGAAGGUGGCAGCAUUCUGAAGCACUGGUGUCAGUAUGAACUUGCUAGCAAAUGUCGUUGUUGAAAGAACACAAACUUUACAGAAAUUUACUCUCCUUGGAAAUUGUGGUGAACACAAACCAGAGUGCUUGGGCAUGAAUUGUUGAACUGGGGAACCUGGUCAGGGAGGAGAAACUGUAUUCACAUAGGUGGAGUAUAUCAUAGGACAAAUUUAACCCCAAAAAGAUUCUUUGUUUAUUUAGCCAUGUUUAUUUGUCAAUGCAGUAAUACUGCUGGAGUGCCUCUUGUCUGCAGCUAAGUGAAAAAUUACUUGCUUCUAGGUUAUGCCUUUUUCACAGAAUAACUCAGCUGAUAAUUAGUGGAUCACUCCACUAAUUGCAGAGAAUGUUCUGUUGGGCUACAGCUUUGGGAGAUGACUGUCACCAGAGAGGGGAAGCUUCUCCUAUGGUUUUCUCCAUUCCUUUGCCCACUCCCAGCAGUGUUCUCCAGCUCCUUACCAUGCCAGCCUCCAUCUAGCACCUGGGGGAACCUGCUUAGGCAAGCAAAUUUGAGCUCCUGAGCUAGCAAAAAAACAAAACCAAAAUAACAGUGGAAAAAUUGAGUCAUAUUCUACCAGAGUAAGAAAGGCUGAGGGCCGUAUGACUGGAAUCAGGAUAAGAAAAGACAGGGGAGGAGGAAGCGCAAGCCUUCCCCUUUUGGCAUGAGGGAGCUGUUAACAUUGACAGCUGCUUGUGAAACCGCAGCCUUAGGGCGGGCUGCUUAGUUACAGGAUUCAGCUCUUGAUCCCAAACUCAAUCCCAGCACGCAGAUUUUACAGCCCCUUUUGACAUGCAAACACUCCCAGCCUGAGCUGCCGUUUAUCAGACAUCUCAUCUGAGCAAGGAAGUGGUGACAGACAACCAAAAGGCAGGAGCUGCUUAAAUCUUUCACCUGUAAUUAACCUUGCAAGCACUGCUCACUCCUCAGAGUGCCUCAGACAGGUGAGGGAAGGCCACACGGGAAGCUCAUUUAAACAAGUGACUUUCUCAUCGCUACAUAUACAGAACAUUGAAGGAACUCGAGGAAUAGCUGAGACAGCACACGACUCCAGUUUUCCUCCCUUCAGCAGAUUCAAAAAGUCCCUCUAUCCUAGGAAGAAGGGAGAGGCUGAUUUUUGCUUUAUAGAAGGAGUGAGACAGGAAAAUUGGAUCCUUCAGAGGAAGAGAUGCUUGCCAAUGAAGAACCCGUCUGCUUGGCAGAUUUUUCCUUUUCUUUCAUUGGAAUGAAAAUUAACAACAACAAACCAACCUCAAAAAGUGGCUGAGAUAUUCCACAGCAGACUGGCUGCAGCAGAAGUUACUUGGGGGGACCCAGCAUUAAUGCUGGAAGUCAGUGGCAAGUCCCCAGGGUGAAUCUUCUGGGCUUUUUAUACUUUCCUUGAGCAUUCCACGGCUCUUUUUGACGAGCUGGCAUGCUGGGAUGAGAACCCCAAUAAGUGGUACAGGUUGAAGCGUUCCCGUGUGUUACAGCAACCCGAUGACUCAGGGAACAAAUGUUUCCUUUUUUUUUUUUCGGGGUAAUGAUGCAUUGAGCUGAAGCGACCCGGGGAGAAGCGGAGUGCAGGGCUAAAAAUCUUCCUGGCAGGUGUCAGUCACUGGCAUGAGCCAGGUAGCUACAGGAGUUGAAGGUGAAAGAGGCAGUUCCCCUCUGAAAUUCCUGUGUGGAUAGCACGUGAGACAACAGGGAUUGGAGAAUGCCCUGACUGCCUGGAGUUAAAGAGGGCAAUUCGCUGAAAAAGCCGGGGACCCUGUUCGAAAUGGGGGCAGGUAGAAUUUGAAUAGUUGCUUUUGUUUUGGUGUUUUUCUUUAUACGGGGAGGCAGGAAAAAAACUGGGCUGGGAAUUGCUCCUUGCCCAUUUUGCUUGCAUGCUGAAUGUGAGGUGGUUUUGUUUGUUUGUUUUUGGUUUUGUUUUUGUUUGGUUGUUGUUUGUCAGGGGAAGAGGGGAACAGGAAUAAAAAGGACUGCAGAUAGCUACAUCUGGAGGGAAGGCUGGUUACAGUUGGUUUACAGGGAUUUGGGUCUGGGACAGAGAAUGGAUACAUGUGUGAGUGGUACACAGUGUUCCAGACCAUUCCAGAAAAAGGGGAGGAGGCUGUUGUCUGAAACUUUUGGGAAUUGCUGAGAUAAAGUCAACUGCUCCAUUCUCUUGAUUUGAAGGGCUCAAACAGUUGAAUAUUAGAUGUCAGCUGGAAAUUGCAACUUGCAGGGUGGGGAAGGUAAGGAGAAGCUUCCUGAACCAUAUCUAGGGAGUAGUUCUUGAAUGUGAAGCCCUUCUCCAGUCUCUGUAAUGGUGAGUCUGGGCCUUGGAGUGAUUGCACUCUGCAACAGAGUCAGCGUGUUGGUAUCUGAAGCGUGACACUCAGUGCCGCAUUGACAGGACCGUGUUGACCUGCCUGGAGUCACUGCGGCUUUAUUGGUGUUUUCUUAACACCAGCUCCUGUGGAGUUGUAGACUAUCAUCUACAGCCUUUUCCUGUAAGUAUUUUAAAUGAUGCUGUUAUGUGUCUUGGUUUCUAAAAAGAUGAUUAAUUCUUCUGUUCAGUGUGAAAUGUGGAUGGAUUAGUUCCUCUGUAUACAAAGAACCAUAUUUGCCUAUUGGAAAUUUUCCUGGUUUUUAAGUUUGUUUUUUUUUUUGUUUUUUGGUCUUUUUUUUAGCCAGGAGUGGACAUAAUAAAUUACAUAAUAAAUUACACCUUAGUCUUGGUCUUUAUGAUCUGGUGUUAAGACAGCUGAGGCCACAAAUGGCUCUUGGGUUACUGAAAGCCUCACAGAGAAAAAGAACCAUAUUAUGCAUUGAUUCCAAGAGAAAACUGUGAAAAGGUGGAUGUUCUGGAGCAUGUAUAUGGUAUGGCCUGUCUUGGUCAGGAGGGUUGAACUAGAUCACCUCUAGAGGACCCCACCAACUUCAGCUACUUUGGGAUUCUGAAAUAGGAGGAAAGUUUUUUUAAGAGAAAAUCUGAGAAAGCUUGAAGAUACCCAUAUUAAGAUUUGAUUGUUACCACCUUGCACACUGUGCUUUUCCCUGAUGGGAUACAAGGACACUGUACAUCUGGAGGAGGAACACCAGCUUUACAAAUUUUUGCUUGAUGCAGCUUUAAACAUAAAUGUCCCAUGGAGAUCUGUAUAGGGAUUGGACCUAAAUUAAGACAGUGCAGAGAGACAGAAAUUCUGGCAUUAAUCAUAUUACUUUUAUUUAAACGGUAAGGUGUGAUUUAAUGUAAGUGGUUUUAUUUUUAUUAAUACUUGAUGCUGAAUUUUGAACAGCUGUACCUAAACACUUUUACAAAUAUAACACUAAAUACACUGUUUAUUGCUCAUUGUUUUUGCAUGAACAUAAAACCUGGAAAUGAAUACAAGAAUAAAUAAGGCACCCUACUAAUAUACUAUUUUCUGUAUUGUAGUAGCAUGCACAAAAUUUCAUUUUGCUUUUGCAAAUCACUUUCCUAAUUUUUCUUAUUAAAGACAUAAUAAGUUUGUUAUUUGGGCAAGUGCCUGUUUGAAAAGUCAAAACUUGAAAGCACUUUUUAAUUUUCUUAAUUCAACCAUCUACCUUACAAAACAGCUCUCGUAUAGCAUGUCCCAAUUUCUUUUUCUAAAGACAAAAAGUAUUUUUGUUCUUUGCUGUUACUAGGAAACAUGCCUUGCAAGAGGAGUGUUCACGUACUGCUUGAGACAAAAGACCUGACUAGCUUUUUUUUAGCUGCAUUUUCUUCUUGUACUGACCCUGCUCAAAAGAUAAAAA